AAUACCGCAUAAGCUCCCGAUCUGUAGAGGGUUGCGAGAAAAGGCGUAAGUCACUUUGAGAUGAGGCUGCGGCCCAUCAGCUAGUUGGGGUGGUAAAAGCACACCAAGGCGACGACGGGUAGGGGACCUGAGAGGGUGACCCCCCACACUGGGACUGAGACACGGCCCAGACUCCUACGGGAGGCAGCAGUGAGGAAUAUUGCACAAUGGGCGCAAGCCUGAUGCAGCGACGCCGCGUGGGUGAAGAAGGUUUUCGGAUCGUAAAACCCUUUUCUGUGUGACGAGCAAGGACGGUAGCACAGGAAUAAGUCUCGGCUAACUACGUGCCAGCAGCCGCGGUAAAACGUAGGAGACAAACGUUAUCCGGAGUUACUGGGCGUAAAGGGCGUGUAGGUGGUUUUGUAAGUCUGGCGUGAAAUUUUUCGGCUUAACCGGGAAAGGUCGUCGGAUACUGCAGGACUAGAGGACGGUAGAGGCGUGUGGAAUUCCGGGUGUAGUGG
rnacentral:rRNA from 1 species